GACGAACGCUGGCGGCGUGCUUAACACAUGCAAGUCGAGCGGUAAGGCCCUUUCGGGGGUACACGAGCGGCGAACGGGUGAGUAACACGUGGGUGACCUGCCCUCAGCUCUGGGAUAAGCCUGGGAAACCGGGUCUAAUACUGGAUAUGACUCCAUGACGCAUGUUGUGGGGUGGAAAGCCUUGUGCGGCUGAGGAUGGGCCCGCGGCCUAUCAGCUUGUUGGUGGGGUGANGGCCUACCAAGGCGACGACGGGUAGCCGGCCUGAGAGGGCGACCGGACCACACUGGGACUGAGACACGGCCCGGACUCCUACGGGAGGCAGCAGUGGGGAAUCUUGCGCAAUGGGCGAAAGCCUGACGCAGCGACGCCGCGUGAGGGAUGACGGCCU
rnacentral:rRNA from 1 species